CUCCCAUCCAUGGCCCCGGUGCUGCCCUGGGGUUUGGCCAUUGCUGCCCCCGUUGGGUUCCUGCUCCUGCUGCUCCUCUGCGCCUUCCGCCCCAGGGCGAGCGGCCGCUUCUCCACCCAGAGCACCGGGAACGCCGCAGGGAACUCCAGGCUGGUGACGCUGUCGGGAGCGGGCCGCAGCGACGGGGGAGAGGCGCCGCUGGGAGGUGCGUGGCCUUGCAGCAGGACAGAUGUCAGCAGUGAGGGGAACACGGACAGCUCUGGGUCGCCACACUCCAACACAUCCCCUAAAUCCCCCACGAGGACCCCGGACUUCCUGCGGCACCGGCAGCUCCCGCUGGUGCCCGGUGACACCGCAGCGCCCGCAGUGGACACAGGGCAGGAUGCCCAGGGGCCCAUCUACGAAAGCAUCCGCUACAAAUCCCGGACGCUCAGUGCUGGGCUGGAAAAGCCCUGCAGGGACGAUGGGGACAGUGGGGAUGAUGGGGACCCGGUGCAGGACUUUGUUGUGCAAGAGGAGCCGUGCGGCCCGGGCAGCCCCAUACCAGUGUACGCCCGCAUCUGCAAAGUGUCCCGGGCACCGCAGCACACGAUACCCAACAGCACCGAGUCUGAGGAAGAGGCAGCUCCAGCGCUGCCAGAGAAGCUCUUCGACAUCCUGUAG
rnacentral:lncRNA from 1 species